CUGCUGGACUUCACAUGCAGUGCAGAUGGAGAGAGGAGAACUCCAGAGGAGACUAUGGAUACUCUCUUAAAACUGGGCUUUUAGGAGCACCUUUGGUCAAAUUUCCCUUUAUGUCUGUUUCAGGUAAAACUUCUGUAUCUACUCCUCCAAAUGGAAAGGGGAUAUUGAUCCAAGAUCUGAUGAUGAGAAGGAGGAGGAGUGGAAGAAAUGUCACUAGGCAGAGAGAUAAAACAAUAGCAGUAUAUGAAUGGUGUUAUUUUUUGUUUGGGGCAUAGAAUAAAAGGGCAUAAAACAAUGCAUUUUCUUGUCUUUGAAUGUUUUGGUUUUUGAAACCUCAGUCCCACUGUUUAUUUUCAAAAUGUUAGUUCUUGUCCAAUAAAGCCACGUCUGAUUUGCAAA